AACGAACGCUGGCGGCAGGCUUAACACAUGCAAGUCGAGCGCGCCGCAAGGGGAGCGGCAGACGGGUGAGUAACGCGUGGGAAUCUACCCAUCUGUAUGGAAUAACGCAUGGAAACGUGUGCUAAUACCGUAUACGUCCUUCGGGAGAAAGAGUUAUCGGAGAUGGAUGAGCCCGCGUCGGAUUAGCUAGUUGGUGGGGUAAAGUCCUACCAAGGCGACGAUCCAUAGCUGUUCUGAGAGGAUGCUCAGCCACACUGGGACUGAGACACGGCCCAGACUCCUACGGGAGGCAGCAGUGGGGAAUAUUGGACAAUGGGCGCAAGCCUGAUCCAGCCAUGCCGCGUGAGUGAUGAAGGCCCUAGGGUUGUAAGGCUCUUUCACCGGUGAAGAUAAUGACGGUAACCGGAGAAGAAGCCCCGGCUAACUUCGUGCCAGCCGCCGCAGUAACAC
rnacentral:rRNA from 1 species